UACGUAGGGUGCGAGCGUUGUCCGGAAUUAUUGGGCGUAAAGAGCUCGUAGGCGGUUUGUCGCGUCUGCCGUGAAAGUCCGGGGCUCAACUCCGGAUCUGCGGUGGGUACGGGCAGACUAGAGUGAUGUAGGGGAGACUGGAAUUCCUGGUGUAGCGGUGAAAUGCGCAGAUAUCAGGAGGAACACCGAUGGCGAAGGCAGGUCUCUGGGCAUUAACUGACGCUGAGGAGCGAAAAGCAUGGGGAGCGAACAGG
rnacentral:rRNA from 1 species